UACGAAGGGUGCAAGCGUUAAUCGGAAUUACUGGGCGUAAAGCGUGCGUAGGUGGUUUCUUAAGUCUGCUGUGAAAGCCCUGGGCUCAACCUGGGAAUGGCGGUGGAUACUGAGGAGCUAGAGUGCGGUAGAGGAGGGUGGAAUUCCCGGUGUAGCGGUGAAAUGCGUAGAGAUCGGGAGGAACAUCAGUGGCGAAGGCGGCCCUCUGGACCAGCACUGACGCUGAAGCACGAAAGCGUGGGGAGCAAACAGG
rnacentral:rRNA from 1 species